CCUCAGCCACCGCCCCACCAGCCACAAAGGCCCUUUCCGCAGUAGUUUCGCGAGCUUGUUCUAGCCACGCCUUGCUGACUCUUCUGCGGGCGUAGAGAACAAUUCGCGAAAAUUCAGCUGCAGCGUCAUCUGCUGGACAUGCCGCGACACUGCAGGUCCCUGCGGCGAAGAAGAUGGGGUUGCAGUUGAAAGCCAGGCUUUUUGCCCAGGAAAGGCUCUGGCAGCAAGGUGUAGAUGGACACAACACAAUGCCUUUAUUUUAAUGUGGUGCUGAGGUUUGAACCCGGGUCCCACGCGUGCUAGGCAAGCGCUCUACCGCUGAGCCACAAUCCCAGCCCAAAGGCAGUGUUUUAUAAGGCACAGAGGCUUGCCAUGAAUUUGUCAAGUGGAUGAAAUAAGGAAUUGAACCCAAGGAUUCAACUACUGAGCCACAACCCAGCCCUUUUUCAAUUUUUUUUUUUUUUUUUUUUUUUAAUUUUGAGACAGGAUCUCACUAAGUUACAUUGGGCCUUGCUAAAUUGCUGAAGCUGGCCUGGAAUUUGUGAUCCUCCUGCCUCGGCCUCCCAAGCCACUGGGAUUAUAGGCAUGCACCACCAUGCCCAGAAAAUUAAAUUUUCUGCAAGAAAAAUUUACCUGUGUGGUCUAAAGGAAUGGGGGAGGGGGAGUUUAACAAACUGGUUAUUAAUUAUAAGAAAUAUUAGAAAGAACUUACAAAAGAAGGCUUGGAUGUAGUGAUACAGGGUGGAAAUAUAGAGCAAAUGCAACCUACUCAGUUAUAUUGAGUCACUGGGAGGAAAGGAUUCCAAACCAUUGUAUUUUUAGGAAAUGCAAAGCAGGUCAGAACAAGCCAAAUGAGACCUCAUUGGAAAGACAAUGUGAAUUUUCAGAGAUGAUAACCAAUCUUCUGUGGUAAUCUUCCAAAGUGGAGUUAGCAUGGCAUCAACGAGGUCCUGGUGAAAAGGAAGUGGCCAAAACACUGCUCAGAUCAGUAAGGAGAACUUGAAAGAAUUUGUAAAGCUGUGCUCAGAGGUCCAUACCUGUAAUCCCAACUACUCAGGAGGCUAAGACAGGAGGAUCACACCUUCCAGGCCAACCUGGGCAACUUAGACCCUAUCUCAAAAUAAAAUUUAAAAAGUGGCAGCAGAGGUGUAGAGGUGUGAUGGGAGGAAAGGUGGCUGACAUGUGGUAGAACACUGGCCUAGCACAUAAGAGCACUUGGGUUCAAUCACCAAAAAAAAAGAAUGUAUUACCUAGAAAAAAAUGUCAUGCUAUUUUGUACUUACUAGGGGUAAAAAGGAAAAAACAAACCGCCUUUUAAUACAUAGAUUUAAUUUUUUUUUCUUUUUCAAUAUUUCUUUUAUGGGCUAGGAUUGUGGCUCAGCAGUAGAGCACUCGCCUAGCAUAAGAUUAUGCUUUUGGCCUUGGGUUCAAUCCUCAGCACCACAUCAAAAUAAAUAAAUAAAAUAAAGACACUGUGUCCAACUACAAAUAAAAAAUAAAUUUAAAAAAUUUCUGUAGAGCUCAUGUAUAAUGGCAUAAUUUGGUGUGAACAUACUUUAUAUACAGAGUUACAAAAAAUUAAGCAGUGAAUGGAUAAUUAUAAAUAUAAUGCACUCCACUAUUGUCAUGUAUGUAAGAAAUAACUUUUAAAAAGAAAGAAAAAGAUAUAUUUUAAAACUAAAAAAAAAUUCUUUUAGUUGUCAAUAGACCUUUAUUUUAUUUAUUUAUAUGCAGUACUGAGAAUCGAACCCAAGGCCUCACACAUGCUAGGCAAGUGCUCUGCCACUGAGCCACAACCCCAGCCCUUAAAGCACAGAUUUUUAAAAUGCUUUUAUUAGAGGGAUUGGGGGUAUAGCUCAGUGGUAGAGUACUUGCUUACCAUGCCCUAGGCCCAGGGUUCAAUUUCCAGCAUUGCAAAAGAAAAAAAUGUUUAUUUUAAAGAAGUUUGUUGAAUGCAAAGAGUCCUGGCUAUCCUUUGGAUGUCUUAAAAGUCAGACAAAUUCCCUUUGUUUUUUCUUUUUCUUAUUAUACUAGUAGUAAGCUUGCCUUAAGAUAACAAAUUCAAUAAAUGUCUUUUCUAGGACUUCCUGUCCCUAUGAACUACAGUGAGUAACAGUAAUUGGCUUAGGAAGAGGGCCUAGAAGAAAAGACAACUCUUCUUUUUUCUUUCUUAUUUAUUGAUUGAUUGAUUGAUUGAUUGAUUGCAGGACAGGGGAUUGAACCCAAGGGUGCUUUACCAUUGAGAUAUAUCCUCAGCCCUUUUAAUUUUCUUUUUCUUUCUUUUUUUUUUCCUUUGGUGGGGGGAGGUAGUUGUAGAUGGACAGCAUGGCUUUAUUUUAUUUUUAUGUUGGUGCUGGGGAUUGAACCUAGUGAGAGGCAAGACUCUGCCACUGAGCUACAGCCCAGCAGCCCCCUUUUAAUUUUUUGAGACAGGAUCAAACUUACCAACUUCAAACUUGUCAUCCUCCUGCCUCAGCCUGCCCAAUCUCUGGAUUCACAGGUGUACACCACCUCACUAAACACAACUCUCAUUUUAGGCAUUUAUUCUGAGUUCUACCUCUUAUGGUUUGAGGUAAAUCAUUUCAAGUUCCAGGACCUGAUUUCCCACUGUCAAUAAUAAAUAACUUUCUUAGCCAGGCAUGGAGGUGCUUGCUUAUAGUCCCAGAAUAUAGGGAGGCUGAAGCUGGGGAAUCACUGGAGUUCACAAGUUUGAUAACAGCCUGGGCAACAUAGAGACCCUGUCUCAAAAGUGAAAUAAAUAAUUUUUUUUUUCUUUCAGUACUGGGGAUUGAACUCAGGGGCUUAUGCAUGCCAGAAGCACUCUACCACUGAGCUAUAUCCCCCAGACCUUUGUAUUUUUAUUUUGAGAUAGGAUCUUGCUAAAUUUUCCAGGUUAGUUUAAAACUUCUGAUCCUCCUGUCUUAGCCUCCCUAGUAGCUGGGAUUACAGGCAUGUGACACUGCCUUUGGCUCCAAUUUCUUCCUUCCUUCCUCCCUCCCUUCCUCCCUCCCUCCCUUCCUCCCUUCCACUCAGGAGCACUCAAUCAUUAAGCCACAUCCCCAGCCCUAUUUUGUAUUUUAUUUAGAGACAGGAUUUCACUGAGUUUCUUAGCACCUCACUUUUGCUGAGGCUGGCUUUGAACUCAUGAUUCUCUUUCCUCAACCUCCUGAGCCACUGGGAUUACAGGCUUGUGCAACCGCGUUGAGCACUUGCCUAGCUUGCUUGAGGCCCUCAGUUCCAUCCCUAGCAUCACAUACACAAAAUAGAACAAAACAAAAACCUUACUUUUGAAGAUUUUACCAAGGCAUUAUUGGAGUAGAUAAUAUUUUGUUAUAAAUUGUUAUAUGAACACAAAACAUUCUUAUACCUUAUUUAUUUGUAACAUGUAAUUUA